rnacentral:rRNA from 1 species
CUACGGGACGCAGCAGUGAGGAAUAUUGCACAAUGGGGGGAACCCUGAUGCAGCAACGCCGCGUGGAGGAUGACGCAUUUCGGUGUGUAAACUCCUUUUAUAUGUCAAGAAAAUGACGGUAGCAUAUGAAUAAGCACCGGCUAACUCCGUGCCAGCAGCCGCUGUAAUACGGAGGGUGCAAGCGUUACUCGGAAUCACUGGGCGUAAAGGACGCGUAGGCGGGUUGGAAAGUCAGGUGGGAAAUCCUACAGCUUAACUGUAGAACUGCACUUGAAACUUCUAAUCUAGAGUAGGGAGGGGGAGAUGGAAUUAGUGGUGUAGUGGUAAAAUCCGUAGAUAUCACUAGGAAUACCUAAAGCGAAGGCGAUCUCCUGGAACAUUACUGACGCUAAGGCGUGAAAGCGUGGGGAGCAAACAGGAUUAGAUACCCCCGUAGUC